ACUCCUACGGGAGGCAGCAGUGGGGAAUAUUGCACAAUGGGGGAAACCCUGAUGCAGCGACGCCGCGUGAAGGAAGAAGUAUCUCGGUAUGUAAACUUCUAUCAGCAGGGAAGAUAGUGACGGUACCUGACUAAGAAGCCCCGGCUAACUACGUGCCAGCAGCCGCGGUAAUAC
rnacentral:rRNA from 1 species